GGCAACAGCAAAUAAAGCAUCAACUAGAGCACCAGAUGCAGCAACUGCACCAGCAGCAAAGGCAAGAGGAAAAGCACCAGUAGUACCAGCAAUAACUGCACCAACUGCAGUCCCUUCCAAGAGGAAAUGCGCAAAACCACCUGUCCCUCUAAGGCCUAAAGCAACUACAAAGGUUAAUUCUUCCCAAAGAAUCAUCAACUGGAAAUACAAGAAAAGAGUGGUGUUCUGACAAUCAAGAAGCAUGUACAAGCAUGUGAAGGAGCGAGAGUAAGUAAAAGAGGCCAAGAGUUGUUGGACAAGGUGUUUUUAUGUCUGAGUCUGGAUAUAGUUGUGUUAAUCAAGGGAUGCCUAGCAGCAGGUUGAUAUCCACACCUAGGAUGAUGAAUUCAGCCAUUGUCACAGGUGAAAUUGGAUACAAACCCAGCAAGGGCUUGAAGUGGAGAGGAAAUGUAGCAGUUACACAAAGACAACUCCAAGAGAAAAGUGCUACGCAUAGAGUCCAAACAAGAUCAAAGGCUCUCGGAGUUCAAACAAGGUCAAAAGGUGGAAAAUCUCCAAUGAAGAAGAAGUCUUAGAUUUCUAUGUGUAAGGGUAUUUAUUUUUUGUGAAACUUGGGUAUGUAAGCAAACAAUGUAGCUUGGUAGUUUUGGUCGACAAUUGGAAACAAUGUCCAAUUAUUUUGCAUAUGACAAUGAUGACUGAUGUCCCUUAAUUUGCAUAUGACAAUGUCCAGAUUUGCUUAAUGGUACUUGGUGUGUUUUUGA